GCCGGGCACGAUGGCUCACGCCUGUAAUCCCAGCUCUUUGGGAGGCUGAGGUGGGCUGAUCGCCUGAGAUCAGGAGUUCGGGGCCAGCCUGAUCAACAUGGUGAAACCCCGUCUCUA
rnacentral:SRP_RNA from 1 species